GCUGAUAUAGUUUAAUUGGUCAAAACCUACCAUUCAUGACGGUAAGAAAAAGGUUCGAUCCCUUUUAUUAGCU
rnacentral:tRNA from 1 species